GAUGAACGCUGGCGGCGUGCCUAAUACAUGCAAGUCGAACGCGAGAGGAGGGAGCUUGCUCCCUCUGAUCGAGUGGCGGACGGGUGAGUAACACGUAGGCAACCUGUCCAUCAGUCCGGGAUAACCGCGGGAAACCGUGGCUAAUACCGGAUGAUCCUCUCCACCGCGGGGUGGGGAGUUGAAAGACGGUUUCGGCUGUCGCUGAUGGAUGGGCCUGCGGCGCAUUAGCUGGUUGGCGGGGUAACGGCCCACCAAGGCAACGAUGCGUAGCCGACCUGAGAGGGGGAUCGGCCGCACUGGGACUGAGACACGGCCCAGACUCCUACGGGAGGCAGCAGUAGGGAAUCUUCCGCAAUGGACGCACGUCUGACGGAGCAACGCCGCGUGGGUGAAGAAGGGUUUCGGCUCGUAAAACUCUGUUGUUAAGGAAGAACGACAGGUAGAGUAACUGCUACCUGUGUGACGGUACUUAACCAGAAAGCCACGGCUAACUACGUGCCAGCCGCCGCCGUAACAC
rnacentral:rRNA from 1 species